AUUGAACGCUGGCGGCAUGCCUUACACAUGCAAGUCGAACGGUAACAGGUUAAGCUGACGAGUGGCGAACGGGUGAGUAAUGUAUCGGAACGUGCCCAGUCGUGGGGGAUAACUACUCGAAAGAGUGGCUAAUACCGCAUACGACCUGAGGGUGAAAGCGGGGGACCGUAAGGCCUCGCGCGAUUGGAGCGGCCGAUAUCAGAUUAGCUAGUUGGUGGGGUAAAAGCCCACCAAGGCGACGAUCUGUAGCUGGUCUGAGAGGACGACUAGCCACACUGGGACUGAGACACGGCCCAGACUCCUACGGGAGGCAGCAGUGGGGAAUUUUGGACAAUGGACGCAAGUCUGAUCCAGCCAUGCCGCGUGCGGGAAGAAGGCCUUCGGGUUGUAAACCGCUUUUGUCAGGGAAGAAACGAGUUUCUCUAAUACAGAGACUUAAUGACGGUACCUGAAGAAUAAGCACCGGCUAACUACGUGCCAGCCGCCGCAGUAAUAC
rnacentral:rRNA from 1 species